rnacentral:rRNA from 1 species
GUGAGGAAUAUUGGUCAAUGGGCGGGAGCCUGAACCAGCCAAGUCGCGUGAAGGAAGAAGGAUCUAUGGUUCGUAAACUUCUUUUGCAGGGGAAUAAAGUGCAGGACGUGUCCUGUUUUGUAUGUACCCUGAGAAUAAGGAUCGGCUAACUCCGUGCCAGCAGCCGCGGUAAUACGGAGGAUCCGAGCGUUAUCCGGAUUUAUUGGGUUUAAAGGGUGCGUAGGUGGUUUGAUAAGUCAGCGGUGAAAGUUUGCAGCUUAACUGUAAAAAUGCCGUUGAAACUGUCGGACUUGAGUGUAAAUGAGGUAGACGGAAUGCGUGGUGUAGCGGUGAAAUGCAUAGAUAUCACGCAGAACUCCGAUUGCGAAGGCAGCUUACUAAGCUACAACUGACACUGAAGCACGAAAGCGUGGGGAUCAAACAGGAUUAGAAACCCUAGUAGUCC